rnacentral:rRNA from 1 species
CCCGCUGAACUUAAGCAUAUCAGUAAGCGGAGGAAAAGAAACUAACAAGGAUUCCCCUAGUAAUGGCGAAUGAAGCGGGAAUAGCUCAAAGUUUAAAUCUCAGUGGCUUCCACUGCGAAUUGUAGUCUAAAGAAGGCGAUCUAAACCACAGAUGGUAGUCAAGUCCCUUGGGAGAGGGCGCCAGAGAGGGUGAGAGCCCCGUCAACUACUGUCUGUGGCCAAGUGAGAGCCUUUCGACGAGUCGAGUUGUUUGGGAAUGCAGCUCAAAGCGGGUGGUAAAUCUCAUCUAAGGCUAAAUACUGGCAAGAGACCGAUAGCGAACAAGUACCGUGAGGGAAAGAUGAAAAGCACCUUGAAAAGGGAGUUAAACAGUGCGUGAAAUUGUUAAAAGGGAAGCGAUUGAGAUCAGUGUUGGUCUGUCGUUUACGUCGGUGCUCUGGUGCCGGCUGCGACGGCGGACCGAGUCAAUGCCAGUUGUGGGUGCUGGAGACGCCGUGCGGGAAGGUGGGGUCAGUCUUCGGGCUGGCUCUUUAUAGACCGCGCUGGCCGCAGCCUCUGCGACUGGAAGGAGGGUGCCGUGGGUGGUGCAUGGAAGGAGGAGCAGUCAGACAUACUAUAUGACUUGAUUGUUAUCCACCAACCAUUAUCCUCUCCCCUAAUUCUCCGUCUUUGACAAAAUGGUCUUAAACGACCCGUCUUGAAACACGG